UUUUGAACUAGUACUCAACAAAUAUUUUGUUAUUACCCAAUGACAGGAUUCUGAGUGCAGCCACCUGAUUACACAGCUUGCUAGAGUCUAAUUUCCUAACCAAAACACAGAAAUUCCCUAAAACUCAAGGCAGAUGGAAUGCAGCAAUUAAAGGUCCUCUUCAGUAACGAAGGGAGAUCCCUCCCCGCCCAUACACACCCCCGAACCCCAUUUCUGCAAGUGUAAACACAAGAGUGGGCAGCAGAGAAGCUGAAGCCUUGGGACACAAAGAAGAUUUCAGCUACUGCCAGAAACAAGCCCCCAAACACCUUCCCAAACAGCAAACAAAAGAUGGCAUCUACAGAACGGGAAUGACAACCCCUAAAAAUACAGCCCACAAACUCCAGAGACGUUUGCAGCAGCUUCUCCCCCCCUCACCUCAAUGCGGAGCGUGCAGCUCUCAGAGGCACUGCAACCACUUGGCCAAGUCAAAAGAAAGUUUUAAAACAUUAUUUGCCAGAAGACCACUUGUGGACUUCACAAAACACCCGAAAUUCCCAAUUUGACAUCUGGACCUGCUGCUGGGAUGACCACUCACUCUGCCUCCAACUUGGGCUCACAAAUCUGCUCGAUAUAGUAUUUUUUUUAAUACUCAGAACAAAACACCAGACACAUAAAAAAGCUUAACGCAUUAAAUGAUAUUAUCUGCUGAAGCCCAAUAACAACUCCUUUUUUUAAGAGCAUAACACUAUUAUUGACACCACACCUAAAAGAAGCCAACUUCCAAGAAAGAAACCCUUCUGCAGCAAAACAGAAAGAACGAGUUGCAAUGCCUUAUCACCACAGCAGAAGCCACAGUCCAACUUUAAUUAAGGGAAAAGAUAAAUACCAACAAGAGAAGGAAAUUCCCAAUAUCGCAACCAAAACGACGGAAUUGCUAUGGAUAAGACUGACCCCAAAACAAUGUGCUUUAAAAUAAACCAGGCGCAUCAGCAUUA